AGGUAACCUACCCUCAGGACUGAGAUAACCCCGGGAAACUGGGGCUAAUAUUAGAUAGAUAAAAGAUACUGGAAUGUUCUUUUAUCCAAAGCUUUUGCGCCUGAGGAUGGGCCUGCGUCCGAUAGGUUGUUGGUGGGGUAAUGGCCCACCAAGCCUACGAUCGGUACGGGCAGUGGGAGCUGAAGCCCGGAGUUGGGGACUGAGACAAGGCCCCAGGCCCUACGGGGCGCAGCAGGCGCGAAACCUCUGCAAUGCGGGAAACCGUGACAGGGGGAUCCCAAGUGCUCAUGCAUUGCAUGGGCUGUUCUUUGGUCUAAGUAACCAGAGGAGUAAGGGCUGGGCAAGACCGGUGCCAGCCGCCGCGGUAAUACCGGCAGCUCAAGUGGUAGCCGCGAUUAUUGGGCCUAAAACGUUCGUAGCCGGAUAAGUAAGUCUUUGGUUAAAUCCUGCGACUUAACCGUGGGAAAUCUAGAGAUACUGCUUGUCUUGAGACCGGGAGAGGUUGGAGGUACUCCUAGGGUAGGGGUGAAAUUCUGUAAUCCUAGGGGGACCACCUGUGGCGAAGGCGUCCAACUGGAACGGGUCUGACGGUGAGGGACGAAACCUAGGGGAGCGAGCCGGAUUAGAUACCCGGGUAGUCCUAGGCGUAAAUGAUGCGAGUUAAGUGUGGGGGCAUCUACGAGAUGGCCCUGUGCUGUAGGGUAGCCGUUA
rnacentral:rRNA from 1 species